rnacentral:miRNA from 1 species
UCACCGGGUGUCUUGUAGCGGA